CACGUGGUCAGGGAGCCGAGCGCUGGGUCGUAGGGGACCGCGGCUUGGAACUCGGGACGGCUGCAAGCCUGCUCAGGCCGCUUGCCUUCCUCCAUCGCCUUCUUUCGCUGUGCGCGGACCACACGGUGGGACUGUAGCGGCGAAAGCGGCUGAGGUCUGGGCGCAGUUAUCUGUAACCUCUUGGCGACCCUGACAAGCAGACGCGGGAACACAAGUAAGAAUGGAGGGUGCUCUUCCUCCCGCCCCACCCCGAAGGUAACAAAGGAUCAAGGCUUUCUCCGUGAAAUAGCUGCAGAAUGUACACUGAACCUGCUGGCACUUCCCUUAGAGUUUUACUGGCUCAGCUCAAGAACCACCUCCUCCAAGUUGUCUUCCUGGAUUUACUCAGCCUAAAGUAAUCCUUUUUCCUAGAUAUAUACUGAGCAUAUGCUUUGUGUCAGAUAUUGUUAUAGAUGCUGAGGCUUCAUCUGUGAACAAGACCGACCAAGUCUCUGACCUCAUGGAGCUUAUUUCAUAUGUGGGCAACAGAUAAUAAGAUCCCUGAAGACUUCAUUAUGGAUUUUGUCUCUGGGAACAUGGACGACUACACCUGUUCACGGGAAUUCUUGGAUCCUUAAAACAACACUUUAAGGGCUCAGCAGAAUGGACAUAGAAACAGCAGUGGUUGAUGAUUGCAUUGAUCCAAAUUUGGAAGCUGUGUGGCAGUUACUCUGAUGAAGUUUGAUGCCGUGUUGCGAGAUGCUCUGUAGGGAGACCCACAUGCCAGAGACUCAAGGAGGCCUGCAGCCAACAGCUUAUGAGGAACUGAAUCCUUUGUCCAACAGUCUGCGAAAAACGGAAUCCUGCCAACAACCAUGUGACUGAACUUGGAAGCAGAUCCUUCCCAGUAGAGCCUUCGGAUGAGGUGGUGUCCCUGGCCAGCGCCUUGAUUGCGGGCUUGCAAGAAGCCCUGAAGCAGAAGACCCAGCUAAGCCACGCCUGGAUUCCUGAAAACCAGACUGCUCUCUGCCAGGAUCUCUAGAGCCUCACAUUGGUCAAUGACCCUGAAGAGGGCAGAGUCCAGCCUCAGGCCUCUAGCCCACCCUCUUCCUGGGAAGAAAAUGCCUCUGCUCCGAAGGCAGCCAGCACAUAUUUUACUCACAACAGUCGGCAGAUGGCUGUGGAUCCCUUCUGUUCCCAGGAAUCACAUCGGAACUAACCGCGCUGUGCAUUUUCCAUCACUGGUAGCUAUCCCAACGGUGACGUGGGGCAUCGUUAUUAAUAGGUGAAGGACAAAGAGAGAGGGGAAGUGGCUUGGGCUGAGUCACACAGCAAAGUUAGAACUCCGAUCUCCCAGCAACUAACGUCGCCCUGGGCUCUGUCCCACACACCUGGCAGCUCCAGAGACUUGCUCCUUUUUGUACUCUGGGUAACGAACUCUCUAGCUAACCAAGCGGGUCUGACUUGUCUUACAGAGAAAUGAAGCAAAAUCUUCUUCGGGAUGGUAUAUUAUGAUCUUUCUGUUUCUAAUGGUUGGCAGGAAACCGAGUCCCCACUACUUACUGAAUGACCUGGAACACAUCAUCGAAAGUUUCUGGACCCUCAGUUUUCCCUUCAGUAAAAUGUAGACAAGAUUUAUUGGUGCCUACCCCCAGAGAAACUGGAUGAGCUAGGGAGAGGAGUGGGGUGCCCUUAUCCAAUCUAUUCUGCAUUACCCUUUACACGGGUGAACUUCAAACCUGGCUGAGCAUGAUAAUCACAUGGGUGGCCUUUAAAAAUACAAAUUCCUGGGCCUUGCCCAGCCUGGCUUACUUGGAUUUCUUCUCCUUUCUCUCGGCCAAGUGGCCCCCAGGGUGAAGGGAACCCCCUUGAUUUGAGCAGCGGGGUGGUCUUUAACUUUUCUAUGUAAAUCCUCUCCAACUCAGCUUAAAGAAACCUUUGCUACGAGAUGGGAAGCAUUGCGUUCUGUCUCCUUUGAGCUCUCCCUUGGACUCACUGUUCCCCCAAUUUUGGCACUUCUCACAUACUGCUUGUUAUUUUUACUUAACUGUUUCAAAUCUUUGCCUCUUGUUUCCUCAGUUAGCUACUGGAGGGUAAAAACCAUGACCUACCCUUCUCUUAUUGCCCCGCAAAUGCCAGCUCCAUUAGCACCUAGUAUCUCUUCAAUAAAUAUUUGUUGAAUGGCAAAUCCUGUAAUUUGGAAAUCUGAAAUAAUUUCUUAUUUAUUUGGG